rnacentral:rRNA from 1 species
CGUUUGCAUGGGGCGCAGCCUGAUCAGCCAUGCCGCGUGAGUGAUGAAGGCCCUAGGGUUGUAAAGCUCUUUCGGCGGGGACGAUAAUGACGGUACCCGCAGAAGAAGCCCCGGCUAACUUCGUGCCAGCAGCCGCGGUAAUACC